UACGUAGGGGGCGAGCGUUGUCCGGAGUUACUGGGCGUAAAGGGCAUGCAGGCGGUCAGGCGCGUUUUGUGUGACAGCGGAGGGCUUCACUCUCCGAGCAUACGAAAGACGCGUGACUUGAGGGCUCGAGAGGGACACGGAAUCCGGGUGGAGUGGUGAAAUGCGUAGAGAUCCGGAGGAACACCGAAGGCGAAGGCAGUGUCCCUGGCGAGUAUCCUGACGCUGAGGUGCGAAAGCCAGGGGAGCGAACGGGAUAGAGUACCCCGAGUAGUCCAC
rnacentral:rRNA from 1 species